rnacentral:rRNA from 1 species
UUGAAGAGUUUGAUCAUGGCUCAGAUUGAACGCUGGCGGCAGGCCUAACACAUGCAAGUCGAACGGUAGCACAGAGAGCUUGCUCUCGGGUGACGAGUGGCGGACGGGUGAGUAAUGUCUGGGAAACUGCCUGAUGGAGGGGGAUAACUACUGGAAACGGUAGCUAAUACCGCAUAACGUCGCAAGACCAAAGAGGGGGACCUUCGGGCCUCUUGCCAUCAGAUGUGCCCAGAUGGGAUUAGCUAGUAGGUGGGGUAACGGCUCACCUAGGCGACGAUCCCUAGCUGGUCUGAGAGGAUGACCAGCCACACUGGAACUGAGACACGGUCCAGACUCCUACGGGAGGCAGCAGUGGGGAAUAUUGCACAAUGGGCGCAAGCCUGAUGCAGCCAUGCCGCGUGUAUGAAGAAGGCCUUCGGGUUGUAAAGUACUUUCAGCGGGGAGGAAGGUGUUGUGGUUAAUAACCACAGCAAUUGACGUUACCCGCAGAAGAAGCACCGGCUAACUCCGUGCCAGCAGCCGCGGUAAUACGGAGGGUGCAAGCGUUAAUCGGAAUUACUGGGCGUAAAGCGCACGCAGGCGGUCUGUCAAGUCGGAUGUGAAAUCCCCGGGCUCAACCUGGGAACUGCAUUCGAAACUGGCAGGCUAGAGUCUUGUAGAGGGGGUAGAAUUCCAGGUGUAGCGGUGAAAUGCGUAGAGAUCUGGAGGAAUACCGGUGGCGAAGGCGGCCCCCUGGACAAAGACUGACGCUCAGGUGCGAAAGCGUGGGGAGCAAACAGGAUUAGAUACCCUGGUAGUCCACGCCGUAAACGAUGUCGACUUGGAGGUUGUGCCCUUGAGGCGUGGCUUCCGGAGCUAACGCGUUAAGUCGACCGCCUGGGGAGUACGGCCGCAAGGUUAAAACUCAAAUGAAUUGACGGGGGCCCGCACAAGCGGUGGAGCAUGUGGUUUAAUUCGAUGCAACGCGAAGAACCUUACCUACUCUUGACAUCCAGAGAACUUUCCAGAGAUGGAUUGGUGCCUUCGGGAACUCUGAGACAGGUGCUGCAUGGCUGUCGUCAGCUCGUGUUGUGAAAUGUUGGGUUAAGUCCCGCAACGAGCGCAACCCUUAUCCUUUGUUGCCAGCGGUUAGGCCGGGAACUCAAAGGAGACUGCCAGUGAUAAACUGGAGGAAGGUGGGGAUGACGUCAAGUCAUCAUGGCCCUUACGAGUAGGGCUACACACGUGCUACAAUGGCGCAUACAAAGAGAAGCGACCUCGCGAGAGCAAGCGGACCUCAUAAAGUGCGUCGUAGUCCGGAUUGGAGUCUGCAACUCGACUCCAUGAAGUCGGAAUCGCUAGUAAUCGUAGAUCAGAAUGCUACGGUGAAUACGUUCCCGGGCCUUGUACACACCGCCCGUCACACCAUGGGAGUGGGUUGCAAAAGAAGUAGGUAGCUUAACCUUCGGGAGGGCGCUUACCACUUUGUGAUUCAUGACUGGGGUGAAGUCGUAACAAGGUAACCGUAGGGGAACCUGCGGUUGGAUCACCUCCUU